CUCAUUUAGUUUCCUAAUUCUCUCCUUUUGCCUAUUUUCUACAUCAACCAUGGAAUCAAGAAGUUCCUUUUCGAGCACAGGGUGGCUCUGCUGCAUCGCUUUCCACCCUUCUGUGGUGGAAAUUUCCUGGAAGUUGCUCACAAUCAUGCGGUGACAAAUGAGGCUAAGCCUAGGAGCAUCGCACAGUAACGCAAGCUGAAAGAUGUCAACUACGUUUUCGGUUGUAAGAAAACUUUGCUCUAACUUGUGCGCGCAUAUUUUCUUCAACUCUGGAACCACAAAAGCAUGCGAGAGCACCAACAAGUGUAACACAAAUUCCUCCAUUUCUUCUUUCUCGUAACAAGAAGAGUAUAAGAAUCGAAUAAAAACUCGAACAGCGUCAUGAGGAACGCCCCCAAUUGAGAUUGAUCGUUGUCGAGUUCGGCUUUUUGCUUGCUUUAACAGGCCUUUUAUGACAGGAGAAGCCAUGCCAAGAAUAUUGGCAUGCGCAUAGAUGGAGCCAC
rnacentral:misc_RNA from 1 species